rnacentral:rRNA from 1 species
GGUCUUCUCCUGGGCAGCCCUGGAACGGGGUCUAAUACCGGAUAACACUCUGUCCCGCAUGGGACGGGGUUAAAAGCUCCGGCGGUGAAGGAUGAGCCCGCGGCCUAUCAGCUUGUUGGUGGGGUAAUGGCCUACCAAGGCGACGACGGGUAGCCGGCCUGAGAGGGCGACCGGCCACACUGGGACUGAGACACGGCCCAGACUCCUACGGGAGGCAGCAGUGGGGAAUAUUGCACAAUGGGCGAAAGCCUGAUGCAGCGACGCCGCGUGAGGGAUGACGGCCUUCGGGUUGUAAACCUCUUUCAGCAGGGAAGAAGCGAAAGUGACGGUACCUGCAGAAGAAGCGCCGGCUAACUACGUGCCAGCAGCCGCGGUAA